rnacentral:rRNA from 1 species
CAGUAGCCACGGUAAUACGGAGGGUGCAAGCGUUAUCCGGAUUCACUGGGUUUAAAGGGUGCGUAGGCGGUUUGACAAGUCUUGUGUGAAAUCUUCGGGCUCAACCCGAAGCCUGCACGAGAAACUGUUAAGCUUGAGUAUUGGAGAGGUGAGUGGAAUUUCCGGUGUAGCGGUGAAAUGCGUAGAUAUCGGAAGGAACACCUGUGGCGAAAGCGGCUCACUGGACAAUAACUGACGCUGAUGCACGAAAGCUAGGGGAGCAAACAGGAUUAGAUACCCGAGUAGUCCCUGUCUCUUAUAC